AAUGCGGCUUUGUGCGGGAAGAAAGCCUUGGGGUGGUAAACCGCUUUUGUCAGGGAAGAAAAGCUCUGUGUUAAUACGGGGGGGUAAGGACGGUACCUGAAGAAUAAGCCCCGGCUAAAUUCGGUCCCAGCAGCGGGGGUAAUACUUAGGGUGCAACCGUUAUUCGGAAUUAUUGGGCGUAAAGCGUGCCCAGGCGGUUAUGCAAGACAGAUGUGAAAUCCCCGGGCUCAACCUUGGAAAUGCAUUGGUGACUGCAUGGUUAGAGUAUGGCAGAGGGAGAUAGAAUUCCACGUGUAGCAGUGAAAUGCGUAGAUAUGUGGAGGAACACCGAUGGCGAAGGCAAUCCCACUGGGCCUGCACUGACGCUCAUGCACGAAAGCGUGGGGAGCAAACAGGAUUAGAUACCCUGGUAGUCCACGCCCUAAACGAUGUCAACUAGUUGUUGGGAGGGUUACUUCUCAGUAACGUAGGUAACGCGUGCCCCUUGGGGCCGGAGGCAAAAAAUC
rnacentral:rRNA from 1 species